rnacentral:lncRNA from 1 species
CCAAGUCAUGCCUCAAGUCUCAGCUUAAACCCUGCUUCCUCCAGGAAAUGGCCCUGGAAGUUUCUGCAAGUAGACACCCUAUGCUGUGCUCUUAGAAUUUCUCAUAUUCUGCCAGUCAUAGAGCUCAUCUUCUGGAAUUCGAACUCUGUCUUCCCCUGUAGAUUGUAGUCUACAGAGCAAGGACACUGCUCAUUCAUUCAUUCAUUCAUUCAUUCAAAAACGGAGCCAAGUAUAUACAAUGUCUCUGUCACCCAGACUGGAGCACAGUGGCAUGAAGAUACCUCACUGCAGCCUCCAUCUCCUGACCUCAAGCAAUCCUCCCACCUCCUGAGUAGCUGGGACUACAGGCACCUGUCGUCAUGCCUGGCUAAUUUUUAAUUUCUUGUAAGACAGGGUUUUGCUAUGUCGCCCAGGCUGGUCACAAACUCCUGGGCUCAAGUAAUGCCCCUGCCUUGGCCUCCCAAAGUGUUGGGAUUACAGGCAUGAGCCACAGCCCCUGGCCUACCUAAUUGUUUUUUUUUUUAGUUGAGAUGAGAUUUUGCUACAUUGCCCAGGCUGGUCACAAACUCCUGGCCUCAUGCAAUCCUCCCACCUCGGCCUCCCAAAGUGCUGGGAUUAUAGGUAUAAGCCACUGCACCUGGCCUACCUCAUUUUAUUUCAAUUAAAAAUUCUAAUCAAAGAAGAUACACAAGUAGCAAAUAAACACGUGGAAAAGACGCUCAACAUCAUCAUUAGGGAAAUGCAUAUUCAGGCCACAAUGAGAUACCACCUCAUACUUAUUCGUGUGGCUAAAAUGAUAAAGGCUGACAAUACCAAGUGCUGGUGAAGAUGUGGAGCAGCUGGAAUUUUCAUGUGCUGCUGGUGGGAAUGUAAAAUGGUACGAUCACUUUGGAAAACAAGAUGGCAGUUUCUUAUCAAGUGAAACAUGCACCCACUGCACCUUCACAGUGACCUGCAAUUUCAGUCCUAGGAAUUGACCCAAGAGGAAUAAAAACCUACGUACUUGAAUGUUCUUAACAGCUUCCUUCAAAAUAGCCCAAAACUUGAAACCACCCCAAAGUUCAUCAACCUGGAAAUGGAUAGCCAGACUGGUAUAUCCAUACAAUGAUAUAAAAAGAAAUGAACUGCUGAUACUCGGAACAACAUUGAUGAAUUACGCUAAAUGAAAACAUUUACAUUAUACUAAGUGAAAGAAUCCAGAAACAGAAACCUUGGCUGGGCACGUCGGCUCACUUCUGUAAUCUCAGCACUUUGGGAGGCUGAGGUAGGUGGAUCACUUGAGGUCAGGUGUUCGAGACCCAUCUGGCAAACAUGGCAAAACCCCGUCUCUACUAAAAAUACAAAAAAUUAGCAGGGCGCGGUGGCAUUCACCUGUAAUCCCAGCUACUUGGGAGGCUGAGGUAGAAUUGCUUCAACCCGGGAGGUGGAGGUUGCAGUGAGCCAAGAUCCUGUCACUGCGCUCCAGCCUGGGUGACAGAGCGAGACCCUGUCUCUAAAAACAAAACAAAAUAAAACAAAACAAAAAACCCCACAACACCCAAAUACUGUAUGCUUCUGUUACAGUAGGCAGGCAGACAUGAGCAGGGCAGGAGAGGGCUCCCCCCGAUCCACAGACCAGGACUGUCAGGCGACAAUCAGGUGAUGGUCAGGCAGCUGUUAAGCUGUUCUCUAAAAUAAUAAUUGGUCACAGCCAGGGCCAGGGAAAGACAGUCUACCAAUAGAUAGAAAGACCUGAAACUAGUGAAGAGCAUCUUCCCAAUAAGCUCUUGGGAGUUGAGCGAGUGGACUCAAGCAUGCUCAUUAACAGGCAAAAUGGCAGAGUUUAACUGAUAUAUGGCCUUCUAGGAACAUUUGGCCAGUAAGGGAAGAACGCCUCAAGUAGGCAUAUGUACAACUCCAGUAAACACAGUAUGCAUGCAGCCCCUCCCAAGCACUGGCAGAUCACUGUACAUGCAGACAGCCCACCCUAACAGAAGAAUCAGGGAACAGAUACAAGACCCUGGAAGUAUGCCAACAUAUAAAACCCUAAGUCAAAAGGUCCAACCAUGCACUUGAGCUCUCUCAAGUCGCCUGCUUGGCCCUCUUCCAAGUGUACCUUCCUUGCUUUUGUUCCUGCUCUAAAGCUUGGUAAUAAACUUUCCCUCCUGCUCUAAAAAUUGCCUUGGUCUGUCACUCUACCUUAUGUCCUUUGGAUGAUUUCUUUCUUCCGAGGAGGCAAGAAUUGAGGUUGCUGCACUCAUACAGAUUGACUGUUACAGUUCCAUUUAUAGAAAAUUCUAGAAAAGGCAAAAUCAUAGUGAUAAGAAGUAGAUUAGUGGUUGCUAGGGAGUAGGAGUAGGGAGGGCUUGAGAGCAAAGAGGUGCAAGGGAACUUUAGGGGACUGAAAUAUUCUAUAUUAUGGUCGUGGUGGUGGUUCCAUGACUGCAUAUUGUCAAAACUCAAAUUGGAUUAAAGAAAUUGUGAAUUUGGGCCAGGCACAGUGGCCCAUGCCUAUAAUCCUAGCACUCUGGGAGGCCAAGGCGGGUGUAUAACCUGAAGUCAGGAGUUCGAGACCAGCCUGGCCAACAUGGUGAA